rnacentral:rRNA from 1 species
CCUACGGGGUGCAGCAGUGAGGAAUUUUCGUCAAUGGGCGCAAGCCUGAACGAGCGAUGCCGCGUGAGUGAAGAAGGCCUUCGGGUCGUAAAGCUCUGUUGCGGGGGAAAAAAGGCAGCAUCAGGAAAUGGGUGCUGACUGAUGGUGCCCCGCCAGAAAGUCACGGCUAACUACGUGCCAGCAGCCGCGGUAAUACGUAGGUGGCGAGCGUUAUCCGGAAGGAUUGGGCGUAAAGGGUGCGCAGGCGGUCCUGCACGUCUGGAGUGAAACGCAUGAGCUCAACUCAUGCAUGGCUUUGGAAACUGGAGGACGGGAGAGCAGGAGAGGGCGGUGGAACUCCAUGUGUAGCGGUAAAAGGCGUAUAUAUAUGGAAGAACACCAGUGGCGAAGGCGGCCGCCUGGCCUGUUGCUGACGCUGAGGCACGAAAGCGUGGGGAGCAAAUAGGAUUAGAUACCCGGGUAGUC